rnacentral:rRNA from 1 species
UACGUAGGUGGCAAGCGUUGUCCGGAUUUAUUGGGUUUAAAGGGUGCGUAGGCGGUCAUAUAAGUCAGUGGUGAAAUACUUCAGCUCAACUGGAGAGGUGCCAUUGAUACUGUAUGACUUGAGUACAGACGAGGUAGGCGGAAUUGACGGUGUAGCGGUGAAAUGCUUAGAUAUCGUCAAGAACACCGAUAGCGAAGGCA